UUUUUGGAGAGUUUGAUCCUGGCUCAGGACGAACGCUGGCGGCGUGCCUAAUACAUGCAAGUCGAGCGAACUGACUUGAGAAGCUUGAUUCUCAAUGACGUUAGCGGCGGACGGGUGAGUAACACGUGGGUAACCUACCCUAUAGACUGGGAUAACUUCGGGAAACCGGAGCUAAUACCGGAUAAUUGAUU
rnacentral:ncRNA from 1 species